GACAGAGGGUGCAAACGUUGUUCGGAAUUACUGGGCGUAAAGCGUGCGCAGGCGGUUCUCCAAGUCCGGUGUGAAAGCCCCGGGCUCAACCUGGGGAUGGCAGUGGAAACUAGGGGACUGGAAUCUGGCAGAGGGGGGUGGAAUGCCGCGUGUAGCAGUGAAAUGCGUAGAGAUGCGGCGGAACACCGAUGGCGAAGGCAGCCCCCUGGGCUGAGAUUGACGCUCAGGCACGAAAGCGUGGGGAGCAAACAGG
rnacentral:rRNA from 1 species